rnacentral:rRNA from 1 species
GACGAACGCUGGCGGCGUGCCUAAUACAUGCAAGUGGGACGCAAGGAAACACACUGUGCUUGCACACCGUGUUUUCUUGAGUCGCGAACGGGUGAGUAACGCGUAGGUAACCUGCCUAUUAGCGGGGGAUAACUAUUGGAAACGAUAGCUAAUACCGCAUAAUAUUAAUUAUUGCAUGAUAAUUGAUUGAAAGAUGCAAGCGCAUCACUAGUAGAUGGACCUGCGUUGUAUUAGCUAGUUGGUAAGGUAAGAGCUUACCAAGGCGACGAUAUAUAGCCGACCUGAGAGGGUGAUCGGCCACACUGGGACUGAGACACGGCCCAGACUCCUACGGGAGGCAGCAGUAGGGAAUCUUCGGCAAUGGACGAAAGUCUGACCGAGCAACGCCGCGUGAGUGAAGAAGGUUUUCGGAUCGUAAAGCUCUGUUGUAAGUCAAGAACGUGUGUGAGAGUGGAAAGUUCACACAGUGACGGAGCUAC